rnacentral:rRNA from 1 species
CUACGGGAGGCAGCAGUAAGGAAUAUUGCGCAAUGGAGGCAACUCUGACGCAGCCAUGCCGCGUGCAGGAAGAAGGCCUUAUGGGUCGUAAACUGCUUUUAUUUAGGAAUAAACCCCCGAACGUGUUCGGGGCUGAAGGUACUAAACGAAUAAGCACCGGCUAACUCCGUGCCAGCAGCCGCGGUAAUACGGAGGGUGCAAGCGUUAUCCGGAUUUAUUGGGUUUAAAGGGUGCGCAGGCGGGCUAUUAAGUCAGUGGUGAAAUCCCGGGGCUCAACUCCGGAACUGCCAUUGAUACUGAUAGUCUUGAGUUUGGUUGAAGUGGGCGGAAUGUAGCAUGUAGCGGUGAAAUGCAUAGAUAUGCUACAGAACACCAAUCGCGAAGGCAGCUCACUAAGCCAAAACUGACGCUCAUGCACGAAAGCGUGGGGAUCAAACAGGAUUAGAUACCCGGGUAGUC